rnacentral:rRNA from 1 species
UACGGAGGGGGCAAGCGUUAUCCGGAUUUACUGGGCUUAAAGGGUGCGUAGGCGGGUCUGUAAGUCAGGGGUGAAAUCUCCGAGCUUAACUCGGAAACUGCCAUUGAUACUAUAGGUCUUGAAUUAUCUGGAGGUAAGCGGAAUAUGUCAUGUAGCGGUGAAAUGCUUAGAUAUGACAUAGAACACCAAUUGCGAAGGCAGCUUACUAAGUUAUAACUGACGCUGAGGCACGAAAGUGCGGGGAUCAAACAGG